CGGCACGGGGAGGUAGUGACGAAAAAUAACAAUACGGGACUCUUUUGAGACCCCGUAAUUGGAAUGAGUACACUCUAAAUCCUUUAACGAGGAUCUAUUGGAGGGCAAGUCUGGUGCCAGCAGCCGCGGUAAUUCCAGCUCCAAUAGCGUAUAUUAAAGUUGUUGCGGUUAAAAAGCUCGUAGUUGGAUCUCAGUUCCAGACGGGCGGUCCUCCUAACGGUGGUUACUGCCUGGCCUGAACAGCCAGCCGGUUUCCCUAGAUGAUCUUCACCGGUUGUCUUGGGUGACCGGCACGUUUACUUUGAAAAAAUUAGAGUGCUCAAAGCAGGCGUGUAGCCUGAAUAAUGGUGCAUGGAAUAAUGGAAUAGGACUUCGUUUCUAUUUUGUUGGUUUUCGGAACACGAGGUAAUGAUUAAGAGGGACAGACGGGGGCAUUCGUAUUGCGACGCUAGAGGUGAAAUUCUUGGACCGUCGCAAGACGAACU
rnacentral:rRNA from 1 species